UGGCCCCGCCCCGAGACGCCCCGCCCCCUAGGCCCGCGGGGGGCGGGCGGGGGGACCCGACCCAGUGAACCCCUCGCCCCUUCUCGCAAGCGCGCGUCUCCCCGGGCUGCGUAACCUCAGUGGCACCCGGCGCGCGUCCACACAGGAAGACCAAAGCGGCGUCGGUCCGACAGGGUGAAGAUGAAGCCUCGCAGGGCCCGGGCCGUCAGCGGGUCAGUUCUCUGACUUGGAGCAAAGUCUGGAUCUCAGGAUUCGAAGAGCACUGACAACUGGAGCUGGAGAGUGCUGAGGAUUCAACAUUGAGCAGAGCAGACAGAAAUCCCUGAUGGAGGGAAAUUCCCUGAUGGAGGGGAAGGCCAGGCCCAGAAGGGUUACCUGCAUACUGGAGCUGGUGAGGAGCGUGGCCAGUUGUCUGUAGACUGAAUGAAAGAAGUGGUGCCCAACUGAAGGAGAUAAAAUUGAGAGCUGAGUAAAACUCCUGAGGAGAGGAAGGAAGGUCUAGAAGGACCUUCUCCCGCAUUUCUCACCUGUGCUUGUUGAUUUUGAGACACCCCACAAAGCUAAGUACAGCAGGUUACCACCAUACAUGCACUCGACCCCUCCCGGAGUGUGCUGGCCACAGUGGGGGCCUGUGGAAUUCACUGGAAUUAUGUCAUUGUCAUUAUUUUUUCACUUACCUGAUUCACCUGGUCGAGUCCUUAUCUUUCUUUCUUUCUUGGCCAUGUGGCUUGUGGGAUCUUAGUUCCCUGACCUGGGAUUGAAACCAGGCCCUCUUCAGUCCUAGCAUUUUCAACUUCCAAGUGGGGACACAUUUUUUUUUUCCCUCCCUGCAGAACACCUUCUAGUAUUUCAUUUGGUGUGGGCUUCCUGUUGAUGGAUUCUUCCAGUUUUUGUUUUUCUGAAAACUUCUUUAUGUUUUGUAUUUUUCAGGGACAUUUUUCACGGGGUGUAGAAGUAUAAGUUGGCUUUUAUCUCUGCUAGCAUUCUGAGGAUGUUAUUCCACUGUCUUCUGGUUUCCGUGUUUUCUGUCAUUCUUAAUAUUGCUCCUUUGAAGAUGGCAUGUCUUCCUAGGUGCUUUAAGCUUUCUUCUUUAUUCUCAGUCAUCAGGUUUACUGUACUGUGCCUGCAUGUGUUUUUCCCUGUGUUUACCCUUCUUGAUGCUCAUUGUGCUUCUAGAAUCUGUAGCUUGAUAUCUUUCAUCAGUUUGGGGACAGUCUCAGCUCUUAUUUCCUCACGCAUCUUGGAUGCUUCACUCUCUUUCUGCUCUUCAUCUACAACUCAGUUAAAAAUAUUCUUGACCUUUCCACUGAACCCCAGUAUCUGUUUUGCUUUUUAUUAGAUUGUAUACCUUUUCACUCUGUUUCAGUCUGCAUAGUUUCUUUUGACCUGCCUUCUGGUUCACUAACUCUCUCUUUAUCUGUAGGUCUGCUGUCACAACUAUCCACUGAGCCGUUAAGUUUAGUUAUUCUAUAUGUCUCCUUAGAAUUUUCACUUGUUUGUUUUUGUUUCCAGGCCUCCCCGCACCCCAGAUCUGUUCAUAUUGUCUUUCACUCCUUGAGUACCUUUACUGUAUUUCUUCUAAAGUCCUUGUCAAAUGGCUCCACUAUCUUCAUCUCUGUUGGGUCACUUUCUGUCGCCUGUUCCUUUGAAUGCGUCUUAUUUCCUGAUAUACCUCAUUGAGUGUUGCACAUUUAAUAUUUAAGAACUUAUAAAGACAGAUUUCCCUAG